UCUAAUGUGGCAGACUAGUGCAAUGAAUUUAAGCUUCAUAUAUAAAGUCAUUUACUACUUUUGUUAGAA
rnacentral:tRNA from 1 species